rnacentral:lncRNA from 1 species
UGACUCUCUCUCUCUCUCUCUCUCUCUCUCUCUCUCCUUCUCUCUCCUCUCACCCACGGCCUCAGACUCUCUUGCUCUGCUUUUGAUUACCUUAAAUAAAAAUUUUAUUUUUUCUAAAAAUUAAUAAUCUACAAAUUACUAUCUCUACUAUUAUAAUCAUGGAAGGCACUAGGUCUCCUUCCGCGGACCGAGCUUGGAUUUUUAAUCUCUGAUUACCAAAACUAUAACACCCAGUCCAAAAUUUAUAGUUUUUCUAACUCCCAGCUUAUUUUCUCUAAUUCUAAAAUGAUCUAUAUACAUUUUUCCACUUAAUUUCCUUUCCCUCUUCUGCGUCUUCUUCAACCUCUCCAUCCCAAAUCUACGACCUCACUAGCACCCGCCUCUCCAUCCAUGGCUCCCUACCUCCACCACCCUCCCUGGGUUUCCAUCAGAGUCGCUGCUCAUGCGCUUCCCCAAUCAUUUUAGCCAUGGGUCGGACUAAGCAGCUCGCCAUUUUCGGAUAGUUCUUGGUUUCUGUUCGAUCUCCUCUUCGAUUGAUGCAUCAUCUUUCUGAAAAACGGUGAAAGAUUAGAGUGUGUCGGCUCUUUGAUCCAAUCAACCCCAUUGGAUAUUUAUUGUUGUUUGUUUUGAUAUAGUAACAAAUAUAGUACUGGUCAACCAAAUCUUC